ACUGAUCAUUCUUGUUUCUUUUCCAGUGACCUUGAGCCUGAGUGGUUGGAUAGUGUGCAGAAAAAUGGAGAAUUAUUUUAUUUAGAAUUUAGUGAAAGUGAAGAAGAAAUUCUGCUUCAGAACAGCUGUCCAGAAAUGCCAGCAGUGAAUCAUGUCAGGUUUCGUGAAAAUGAAGCUGAAAUUAUUCAGGAGGGAUCACGAAAGGAAAGGAAGUAUGAACUGAAGAAAUGGACCAAAAUGCUAAAAAAGAAGAGUCUUUUACCAAAGGGUUCUGGUAAGAAAGGCAGUGGAACCUGCAAUGUUCUCCCCUCAGGUCCUACUUCCAUAUUGAAACACCGGUCUCCUCAGAAAAUGGGUGUCCCUGUUCAGCAAAAGUACAAAGAUGUGUCUGUUUAUGUAAAUCCCAGAAAACUCUACAGCGCUGAGGAAGAAGAGCAGCAGAGGCUGCUGGAGGCCUUGGUAGGGAUUGUCCAUCAGUCUUCAUGGAGCAGCAAAAGAGUGGAAAAACAAGGCAGGAGGGAUAAAGCCACCAGAGGAGUCAGUGAAGAGAAGCUUGUGGUACAUGGCUUGGUGCCAGGUAGUUCUGCAAUGAAAACAGGUCAAAUCCUGAUUGGAGAUGUUCUUGUUGCUGUAAAUGAUGUCGAUGUGAAUUCUGAAAACAUAGAGAGGGUUUUGUCUUGCAUUCCAGGUCCUAUGCAGGUUAAACUGACAUUUGAAACCUCGGUAUUUGAGCCUGAAGGAACUUCUGAGCAAAGGAACAAACAGACACAGUCAAGUAUGAACAACCUGGUUCGGCUCCUGUGGGGAGGGGACAGUGUGGACCUUCAGCAGGCUGCGCAGGACGUGCCUCACAUUGUCAUGUUCCUCACGCUGAAACUGGACUCUGAGACAUCCAAGGAUGAGCAAGAAAUUAUUUAUCAGUACCCCAUAUCUGAAGCAUCCCAAAAACUGAAAAGUGUGAGAGGGAUAUUUCUCACACUGUCUGACAUACUGGAAAGUGUUACUGGUACCGAGAUUAUCAGUUCCUCCCUUUUCUUAUGUGAAAAACUGGUUCAAGUUGUUUACUGGAAAGAAUCCGACAAGUUGCUUGUAAUUGGCCUUCCUGAAGAAAAUGUCCCACUUUCUCAUCUGAGGAACAUGAUUCAAGAUGUUGUCAGGACCUUGACAUUCAUGUACAGUUCUUUGGAUAGUGCUUUUUGCCAGGUGGAAAAUGUUUCUCGCCUGGAUCACUUUUUCAACCUGUUCUUCCAGCGUGCCCUUCAUCCUGCGAGGCUGCAGCAGCAGGAUUCCUGCAGUGCCCUGUUCCUGGACAGCCUCCCAGGCCUGCGCUGGCUGACACUGCCUCAGGAAAUCAAGGUCAGCUCCUUCUCACACCUCUCCAGGAAACCUGGGCAUGACAGGCCAAAAAGUCAAUACUAUUACGACAUGAGAAGAUUAUAUGUGAUCCUGGGCUCUUGUCUCUUUUACAAGGGUUACUUGAUUGGCAAUCACUUGCCAAAGGAAGACCUUCUUGAUGUGGGUCUCUACUGCCGGCACUACUGCCUGUUACCCCUGGCAGCAGAGCAGAGGAUUGGGCAGUUGGUGAUUUGGAGGGAGGUGUUCCCACAGCACCACCUCCAGCCCUGUGAGGAGGCAAGUCUGACAGGAUACAGGGAACCUGAAGCAAGAUACUUCCUACUGAUAGUUGGCUUGAGACACUUCGUCCUGUGUGUCCUGCUGGAGGCAGGGGGCUGUGCAUCCAGAGCUGUUGGGAAUCCAGGACCAGACUGUAUCUAUGUAGACCAGGUCAAAGCAACCAUACUGCAGCUGGAGGGAAUAGACGCCAGCAUAGAGGAAAGGCUGGACUCUCCCUCCAUCCCACCUGUAGCCUGUGCUGACUGGUUCCUUCCUGCAGCACGGGACAGACUGGAGGGCUUGAGCAAGCUGCAGAACUCCUGCAAAGCUGUGAGCAGUGCAGGGAGCAAGAGGAGCCUCUUUGGGGACAGCUGCCACAGCACACGGACGCAGAGCCCCCCGAGGAGCAGCGGGGCAGCCGAGCAGGGCGGCCAAGGGCCCGCCCAGGAGGAGAGCUCCAACCCACAGCCUGUGGGGGAGCAGGUCAGGCAACACGGGCACAGAGAACUGAUGAGCAGUUGUACAACUCCUUCUAACCAAGUUAAUUCUAGUUUAAUUCAAGCCACCAGAAAAAAACACAUCCUGCCAAACCCAUUUCAUUCAGGAAACCUUAAAAAGAACCCUUCAGAGAAAGAUACAGAACUUCUUAAUGCUAUCAAGUUGACAUCUGGUCCUGAGAAUACCCUCUUCCACUAUCUGUCUUUGGAGACAAUGCAAGGAAUUUUUAUUACUCCAACUCACAAAGAAGUAGCACAGCUUGGUGGCUCCAUCCACCCUCAGUUAAUUGAGAAUUUCUACCAGUGCUGCCUUUCAAUUCGUUCCAUUUUCCAGCAGUCCAUGAGGAAAGAGAAAAAGAAAAAGGCAGGGAGUGGGAUUUCAGAAUUUAGUAAGGCAGCUGAGGACCCAGGUCUGGUAAGAGAACAUGGACUUCUGUUUGAGUGCUCUCCUGAAAACUGGACUGACCAGAAGAAACCACCACCAACAAUGAACUACUGGGUUGUGGGGAGACUCAUUCUCCAUCCCAAACCUCAGGAGUGUUACGUGUGUUUCCAUGACUCAGUGACAGAAGCUGCUGUGGAACUGGCUUUUAAACUGUCCUUUGGCUUAGCUGCAUAG
ensembl:lncRNA